rnacentral:tRNA from 1 species
GGUAGGGUAGCCGAGAGCCAGGCGGUGGGUUGUAGCCCCGAAGACGAAGGUUUAAGUCCUUUUCCUAUCA